rnacentral:rRNA from 1 species
GAUGAACGCUGGCGGCGUGCUUAACACAUGCAAGUCGAACGAGAAAUGGAGACGGAAACCUUCGGGCGGAAGGCUUCAUUUCGAGUGGCGGACGGGUGAGUAACGCGUGGGUAACCUGCCUCAUACAGGGGGAUAACAGUUCGAAACGACUGUUAAUACCGCAUAAGACCACAGCACCGCAUGGUGCGGGGGUAAAAACUCCGGUGGUAUGAGAUGGACCCGCGUUCGAUUAGCCAGUUGGCGGGGUAACGGCCCACCAAAGCGACGAUCGAUAGCCGAUCUGAGAGGAUGGCCAGACACAUUGGGAGUGAGACACGGCCCAAACUCCUGCGGGAGGCAGCAGUGGGGAAUAUUGCACAAUGGGGGAAACCCUGAUGCAGCGACGCCGCGUGAGUGAAGAAGUACUUCGGUAUGUAAAGCUCUAUCAGCAGGGAAGAAAAUGACGGUACCUGAGUAAGAAGCCCCGGCUAACUACGUG